AGACAGAGACUCUCUACGCUUCUUUUCCCAGUCGCCUCGCCUCUUCUUCUUGCAGCCUUGCCUCUCGCUUCGAGCAUCUCUUGCAUCUACGACAUCCUGUCGCAGCUUCGUCUCUUCCUCUCUGCAGCUGUCGAGGCCUUGUCUCUGCCCUCUCUUAGUCUCGCCUCUCUGACGGUUUAACCUUUACUCUGCGGGACUCUCCUUCCAGCUCUCGGCAGUUGCCAAGUUAUUUUUUGUUUCAACAAUUUUGUUAGUCUAGGGUUUCUUCCCACUAAGAAGAGAGUAUUGUUGGGGCCGAGCAAGAGAGACAAGGAAAUGGAAAAGAAGGCAGACAUUCAAACUCAGCAUCACAAGAAGCAAGUGCAUCUCUUUUACUGUGCAGACUGUGAAGACCUUGCCCGUAAAGUUGCUGCUCACUCUGAUCUCAUCACUCUUCAAUCCAUCAACUGGAGGAAUUUUGAUGAUGGGUUUCCAAACCUUUAUAUAAACAAUGCACAAGAAAUGCGAGGUCAACAUGUAGCCUUUCUUGCGGCAUUCAGUUCCCCAGGAGUCAUCUUUGAACAACUUUCUGUCAUAUAUGCGCUCCCACGGCUGUUUGUUGCCUCGUUCACUUUGGUUUUGCCAUUCUUUCCAACUGGCUCCUUUGAGCGAAUGGAAGAAGAGGGGGAUGUUGCAACUGCAUUUACCAUGGCAAGGAUACUUUCAAACAUUCCCAUAUCAAGGGGUGGUCCCACUAGUCUAGUCAUUUAUGACAUACAUGCUCUACAGGAAAGAUUUUAUUUUGGGGACCAUGUUUUGCCUUUGUUUGAGACUGGGAUCCCUCUGCUAAAGCAACGUCUUCACCAGCUUCCUGACUCUGAUAAGAUUGUUGUUGCGUUUCCAGAUGAUGGAGCUUGGAAACGAUUCCACAAGCUGUUGGAUCAUUUUCCCAUGGUGGUGUGCACAAAGGUUCGUGAAGGUGAUAAGAGGAUAGUUCGACUAAAGGAGGGAAAUCCUGCUGGUUGUCAUGUAGUCAUUGUUGAUGAUUUGGUGCAAUCUGGAGGCACCCUUAUUGAGUGUCAGAAAGUGUUAGUGGCUCAUGGUGCGGCGAAAGUGAGUGCAUAUGUCACCCAUGGUGUGUUUCCUAAGCGCUCUUGGGAGCGAUUUACUCGUAAAAGUGAUGGCUCGGGGAAUGCAUUUGCCUUCUUUUGGAUCACAGAUUCAUGCCCCCUUACUGUCAAAGCCAUAGCAAAUAAACCUCCAUUUGAAGUUUUGAGUCUUGCUGGAUCUAUUGCAAAUGCUCUGCAAAUAUGAGUGAGCUAUCUUUAUGGAUUUUCAAAUCGGACCGCUGAAAACCUGAUGGGGACGCAUAAAGAGAACUAAUGGUGUGGGCUGGAUGACAGCGUGAUUGUGAACAAACGGCAGCAGGAAUGGGGCCCACUUGAAGUGUCUCCCAUAGCUCGACGAAUCGACGAUAAUAAACAGAACUCAAAGCAGACACUGACGUGGCCACGUGGGAGAGAGAACGGAGGAGGAAGUGCUUGCCAAGUAGUUUAAGGAUUAUCGUGCGCCUCUGUGCUCUUUCCCUAUUGGCUACGUAUGGUAUCAAGUCUGCUCUAUCCAGCUCAUACAUUCUUACAUGUAUACGUAUGUGCACUGAGAUUGACAAUGACAAAUCUGUAAUUACAACUAUUAUUAUUAUUAUUAUUAUU
rnacentral:misc_RNA from 1 species